rnacentral:misc_RNA from 1 species
AAGUCGUAACAAGGUUUCCGUAGGUGAACCUGCGGAAGGAUCAUUACCAAACGAUACUUCACAAGCCCUGCGCUUUCGAGAGAAUUGCAGGCAACACACACGAGCAAGCGCAGCGCGGUUCCGCGCUGCGUGAGGGAACUGGGCAUGCUGACAUGAGUGCCCGGUUCUAGCGCCGUUCCCCCAACGAUCUAACCAUCCGCGGGGAGCUCUGAGAACGGACUCGGUGCUUUCACCGAACCCUGUGCUUGAAAAGGAACCCAAAUGCAGUACAACUGCAAACGGUGGAUCACUCGGCUC